rnacentral:rRNA from 1 species
GACGAACGCUGGCGGCGUGCUUAACACAUGCAAGUCGAACGGAAAGGCCCCUGCUUGCAGGGGUGCUCGAGUGGCUAACGGGUGAGUAACACAUGGGUGAUCUGCCUUGUACUCUGGGAUAAGCUUGGGAAACUGGGUCUAAUACCGGAUAGGAACUGCCUUUAGUGUGGUGGUUGGAAAGUUUUUUCGGUGCAAGAUGAGCUCGCGGCCUAUCAGCUUGUUGGUGGGGUAAUGGCCUACCAAGGCGUCGACGGGUAGCCGGCCUGAGAGGGUGUACGGCCACAUUGGGACUGAGAUACCGCCCAGACUCCUACGGGAGGCAGCAGUGGGGAAUAUUGCACAAUGGGCGGAAGCCUGAUGCAGCGACGCCGCGUGGGGGAUGACGGCCUUCGAGUUGUAAACUCCUUUCGACAGGGACGAAGCUUUUUGUGACGGUACCUGUAUAAGAAGCACCAGCUAACUACGUGCCAGCCAGCCGCGGUAAUACGUACGGUGCGAGCGUUGUCCGGAAUUACUGGGCGUAAAGAGCUCGUAAGUGGUUUGUCGCGUCGUCUGUGAAAUUCCGGGGCUUAACUCCGGGCGUGCAGGCGAUACGGGCAUAACUUGAGUGCUGUAUGGGAGACUGGAAUUCCUGGUGUAGCGGUGAAAUGCGCAGAUAUCAGGGAGGAACACCGAUGGCGAAGGCAGGUCUCUGGGCAGUUACUGACGCUGAGGAGCGAAAGCAUGGGUAGCGAACAGGAUUAGAUACCCUGGUAGUCCAUGCCGUAAACGGUGGGCGCUAGGUGUAGGGGGCUUCCACGUCUUCUGUGCUGUAGCUAACGCAUUAAGCGCCCCGCCUGGGGAGUACGGCCGCAAGGCUAAAACUCAAAGGAAUUGACGGGGGCCCGCACAAGCGGCGGAGCAUGUGGAUUAAUUCGAUGCAACGCGAAGAACCUUACCUGGGCUUGACAUACACCAGAUCGCUGCAGAGAUGUAGUUUCCCUUGUGGUUGGUGUACAGGUGGUGCAUGGUUGUCGUCAGCUCGUGUCGUGAGAUGUUGGGUUAAGUCCCGCAACGAGCGCAACCCUUGUCUUAUGUUGCCAGCAUUUUAGUUGGGGACUCAUGAGAGACUGCCGGGGUUAACUCGGAGGAAGGUGGGGAUGACGUCAAAUCAUCAUGCCCCUUAUGUCCAGGGCUUCACACAUGCUACAAUGGUCGGUACAACGCGCGGCGACACUGUGAGGUGGAGCGAAUCGCUGAAAGCCGGUCUUAGUUCGGAUUGGGGUCUGCAACUCGACCCCAUGAAGUCGGAGUCGCUAGUAAUCGUAGAUCAGCAAUGCUGCGGUGAAUACGUUCCCGGGCCU